GAAGCAGAGGCUGCGGUUUCCUCUCCACCAAAUCCGGCGGGGCUAGUGCUGGUGGUGGAUCUCGGGCUCUCUUUUGCUGCGCCCUCUCUGCAUCCUCUCAGAGAGCACAAGUGGUGGUGGAUCUCUUGCUCAAUUUGAAGUGAUGGCUAGGAAGAAAUCCCAUGCAACGAAAGGCACGUAACGAAUCAGAGUCAAGUCAGAAAAAAGGGGUGUAUCACAACGUGGGAAGAAGAGAGAUCACGGUGGAGAUGAUGCAACACAACCUCCUCCAAAAAGGAGUAGAACAAAGUACUAGAAGAGAAAGCGAGGAGGCAACUAGGGGGAACGCAUCAUGUUGGGUGCACAUACAAGCACAUACAAAGGAAAUUUGGAGGUAUGAGGGAGGACAUUAAUCAAGAUGGAAGACAGGAAACAACAUUACAACUCAUUUCUUACAAAAUUGCAGCACAGUUUCAUAGAAUAUGUUUAUCAGAGAAGACAGAAAAGAUCUCAAAGAUUCUAGGUUAGUUUCUAUGAUUUUUUUGGAUGGAUCUCAAAAAAACAGAGGAUGAACUUCAUGUGUACCUGUGAUAUAUUUUUUUGGAUCUACUUUA